rnacentral:tRNA from 1 species
CGUUCUGUGGCGUAGUUAGUUAACGCGCCCAUCUAGCGUAUUUGGAGUCGUGGGAUCGAAGCCCACCAAAACGA